rnacentral:rRNA from 1 species
GGGUUGUGAGGUUAAGCGACUAAGCGUACACGGUGGAUGCCCUGGCAGUCAGAGGCGAUGAAGGACGUGCUAAUCUGCGAAAAGCGUCGGUAAGGUGAUAUGAACCGUUAUAACCGGCGAUGUCCGAAUGGGGAAACCCAGUGUGAUUCGUCACACUAUCGUUAACUGAAUACAUAGGUUAACGAGGCGAACCGGGGGAACUGAAACAUCUAAGUACCCCGAGGAAAAGAAAUCAACCGAGAUUCCCCCAGUAGCGGCGAGCGAACGGGGAGCAGCCCAGAGUCUGAAUCAGCUUGUGUGUUAGUGGAACGGUCUGGAAAGUCCGACGGUACAGGGUGAUAGUCCCGUACACCAAAAUGCACAGGCUGUGAACUCGAAGAGUAGGGCGGGACACGUGGUAUCCUGUCUGAAUAUGGGGGGACCAUCCUCCAAGGCUAAAUACUCCUGACUGACCGAUAGUGAACCAGUACCGUGAGGGAAAGGCGAAAAGAACCCCGGCGAGGGGAGUGAAAAAGAACCUGAAACCGUGUACGUACAAGCAGUGGGAGCACCUUCGGGUGUGACUGCGUACCUUUUGUAUAAUGGGUCAGCGACUUAUAUUCUGUAGCAAGGUUAACCGUAUAGGGGAGCCGCAGGGAAACCGAGUCUUAACUGGGCGUUAAGUUGCAGGGUAUAGACCCGAAACCCGGUGAUCUAGCCAUGGGCAGGUUGAAGGUUGGGUAACACUAACUGGAGGACCGAACCGACUAAUGUUGAAAAAUUAGCGGAUGACUUGUGGCUGGGGGUGAAAGGCCAAUCAAACCGGGAGAUAGCUGGUUCUCCCCGAAAGCUAUUUAGGUAGCGCCUCGUGAAUUCAUCUUCGGGGGUAGAGCACUGUUUCGGCUAGGGGGUCAUCCCGACUUACCAACCCGAUGCAAACUACGAAUACCGAAGAAUGUUAUCACGGGAGACACACGGCGGGUGCUAACGUCCGUCGUGAAGAGGGAAACAACCCAGACCGCCAGCUAAGGUCCCAAAGUCAUGGUUAAGUGGGAAACGAUGUGGGAAGGCACAGACAGCGGGGAUGUUGGCUUAGAAGCAGCCAUCAUUUAAAGAAAGCGUAAUAGCUCACUGGUCGAGUCGGCCUGCGCGGAAGAUGUAACGGGGCUAAACCAUGCACCGAAGCUGCGGCAGCGACACUAUGUGUUGUUGGGUAGGGGAGCGUUCUGUAAGCCUGCGAAGGUGACCUGUGAGGGUUGCUGGAGGUAUCAGAAGUGCGAAUGCUGACAUAAGUAACGAUAAAGCGGGUGAAAAGCCCGCUCGCCGGAAGACCAAGGGUUCCUGUCCAACGUUAAUCGGGGCAGGGUGAGUCGACCCCUAAGGCGAGGCCGAAAGGCGUAGUCGAUGGGAAACAGGUUAAUAUUCCUGUACUUGGUGUUACUGCGAAGGGGGGGACGGAGAAGGCUAUGUUAGCCGGGCGACGGUUGUCCCGGUUUAAGCAUGUAGGCUGAUUGUCGGGGCAAAUCCGGAUAAUCAAGGCUGAGGUGUGAUGACGAGGCACUACGGUGCUGAAGUAACAAAUGCCCUGCUUCCGGGAAAAGCCUCUAAGCAUCAGGUAACAUCAAAUCGUACCCCAAACCGACACAGGUGGUCAGGUAGAGAAUACCAAGGCGCUUGAGAGAACUCGGGUGAAGGAACUAGGCAAAAUGGUGCCGUAACUUCGGGAGAAGGCACGCUGGUGUGUAGGUGAAGUCCCUGCGGAUGGAGCUGAGACCAGUCGAAGAUACCAGCUGGCUGCAACUGUUUAUUAAAAACACAGCACUGUGCAAACACGAAAGUGGACGUAUACGGUGUGACGCCUGCCCGGUGCCGGAAGGUUAAUUGAUGGGGUUAUCCGUAAGGAGAAGCUCUUGAUCGAAGCCCCGGUAAACGGCGGCCGUAACUAUAACGGUCCUAAGGUAGCGAAAUUCCUUGUCGGGUAAGUUCCGACCUGCACGAAUGGCGUAAUGAUGGCCGGGCUGUCUCCACCCGAGACUCAGUGAAAUUGAACUCGCUGUGAAGAUGCAGUGUACCCGCGGCAAGACGGAAAGACCCCGUGAACCUUUACUAUAGCUUGACACUGAACAUUGAGCCUUGAUGUGUAGGAUAGGUGGGAGGCUUUGAAGCGUGGACGCCAGUCUGCGUGGAGCCAACCUUGAAAUACCACCCUUUAAUGUUUGAUGUUCUAACGUUGGCCCCUGACCGGGGUUGCGGACAGUGUCUGGUGGGUAGUUUGACUGGGGCGGUCUCCUCCCAAAGCGUAACGGAGGAGCACGAAGGUUAGCUAAUCCUGGUCGGACAUCAGGAGGUUAGUGCAAUGGCAUAAGCUAGCUUGACUGCGAGCGUGACGGCGCGAGCAGGUGCGAAAGCAGGUCAUAGUGAUCCGGUGGUUCUGAAUGGAAGGGCCAUCGCUCAACGGAUAAAAGGUACUCCGGGGAUAACAGGCUGAUACCGCCCAAGAGUUCAUAUCGACGGCGGUGUUUGGCACCUCGAUGUCGGCUCAUCACAUCCACGGGGCUGAAGUAGGUCCCAAGGGUAUGGCUGUUCGCCAUUUAAAGUGGUACGCGAGCUGGGUUUAGAACGUCGUGAGACAGUUCGGUCCCUAUCUGCCGUGGGCGCUGGAGAAUUGAGGGGGGGCUGCUCCUAGUACGAGAGGACCGGAGUGGACGCAUCACUGGUGUUCGGGUUGUCAUGCCAAUGGCACUGCCCGGUAGCUAAAUGCGGAAGAGAUAAGUGCUGAAAGCAUCUAAGCACGAAACUUGCCCCGAGAUGAGUUCUCCCUGAGACUUUAAGUCUCCUGAAGGAACGUUGAAGACGACGACGUUGAUAGGCCGGGUGUGUAAGCGCAGCGAUGCGUUGAGCUAACCGGUACUAAUGAACCGUGAGGCUUAACCUUACAACGCCGAAG